GGAAUUCGCCCUUAGAGUUUGAUCCUGGCUCAGGAUGAACGCUAGCGACAGGCCUAACACAUGCAAGUCGAGGGGUAACAGGGGCUUCGGCCCGCUGACGACCGGCGCACGGGUGAGUAACGCGUAUGCAACCUGCCUGUAACAGCGGGAUAGCUCCCUGAAAGGGGAAUUAACACCGCAUAAGACCACGCUCUCGCAUGGGGACGGGGUAAAAUAUUUAUAGGUUACAGAUGGGCAUGCGUGACAUUAGUUAGUUGGUGAGGUAACGGCUCACCAAGACUGCGAUGUCUAGGGGUUCUGAGAGGAAGGUCCCCCACACUGGAACUGAGACACGGUCCAGACUCCUACGGGAGGCAGCAGUGGGGAAUAUUGCACAAUGGGGGAAACCCUGAUGCAGCAACGCCGCGUGAGUGAUGACGGCCUUCGGGUUGUAAAGCUCUGUCUUCAGGGACGAUAAUGACGGUACCUGAGGAGGAAGCCACGGCUAACUACGUGCCAGCAGCCGCGGUAAUACGUAGGUGGCGAGCGUUGUCCGGAUUUACUGGGCGUAAAGGGAGCGUAGGCGGAUUUUUAAGUGAGAUGUGAAAUACUCGGGCUUAACCUGAGUGCUGCAUUUCAAACUGGAAGUCUAGAGUGCAGGAGAGGAGAAGGGAAUUCCUAGUGUAGCGGUGAAAUGCGUAGAGAUUAGGAAGAACACCAGUGGCGAAGGCGCUUCUCUGGACUGUAACUGACGCUGAGGCUCGAAAGCGUGGGGAGCAAACAAGAUUAGAUACCCUGGUAGUCCACGCCGUAAACGACAAUAAAGAGGUGUAGGGGGUGUCAUGACCUCUGUGCCGCCGCUAACGCAUUAAGUAUUCCGCCUGGGGAGUGCGGUCGCAAGAUUAAAACUCAAAGGAAUAGACGGGGGCCCGCACAAGCAGCGGAGCAUGUGGUUUAAUUCGAAGCAACGCGAAGAACCUUACCUAGACUUGACAUCUCCUGCAUUACUCUUAAUCGAGGAAGUCCCUUCGGGGACAGGAUGACAGGUGGUGCAUGGUUGUCGUCAGCUCGUGUCGUGAGGUGUCGGCUUAAGUGCCAUAACGAGCGCAACCCUCAUCAUUAGUUACCAUCAGGUUAAGCUGGGGACUCUAAUGAGACUGCCAUCGUAAGAUGCGAGGAAGGUGGGGAGGACGUCAAAUCAGCACGGCCCUUACGUCCGGGGCGACACACGUGUUACAAUGGGUGGUACAAAGGGCAGCUACAUGGCGACAUGAUGCUAAUCUCCAAAACCACUCUCAGUUCGGAUCGGAGUCUGCAACUCGACUUCGUGAAGCUGGAUUCGCUAGUAAUCGCGCAUCAGC
rnacentral:rRNA from 1 species